UCCUCUCGCCCCACCCAGGUGCGGUGAAACAGCAGCGCCGCUCGCUGCACCACCGUGCCGCCCCCACAACUGCCCCCCUGAACUACUGUUGUAAGAAUCUCUGAGGAAGGUGUUUAGCAUGAAUGGAAACUACACAGCUGUACAAAUGCAUCAGUAAUUCUGAGUCAUUCUGGGGGAAAAGUGUGAAAGAGAAGUAUAAUGUGCUGUUUUGCAGGUGCGCACGAGGGCAGAAAUACGCAGCGGAUGUGAAACCUGUCAGGCAGGAAUGGGCGACCACAGCAUCAGGUGCUCCGAACCCCCUGAGAAAUAAACACAGGAUGGUGUGACAACGGCGCGACGCCACACUCGAACCCUGCUUGGCGCAAACCGGCGGCGCGGAAGGAAAAGGAGCAAGUCGUAAUGAAGAACAGGAGCGGAGUACGGGAUUUAAAUGCGUCGGGAUCCUUGAUGGGAUCGAUGAUGGUGAACCGCGAGGAAGCCUACUACGGAGAGCCGCCGUACUGCGCGGUGUCCGCCGCGUCACGCACGAACGCAACACGCGUGUCAUCGCGUGACUCCGCAGGGCAAACGCCGCCGACGACCGCAGCGUUGGAACAGUUUGUGCCGUUGGAGGUGAAUCUGUGUUCUAUUAGUACGGAGGUGUGGCCGGCCGUGCUUGAGCAGGAGCGCCGGUCGUGUUCCGCUCCAGCAUGUGCACCACCCUCUCGCGUGAAGACCCGCAAGAUGCGGACGAACGCCGUGCCGGAUGGACCGGACCCGGACUCUUGAACCGAAUCGCAGUUCCAGCUCCUAAGAGAGCAAGUAAUAAAGAAUCCCGUUACGCUGUAAUCAAAAUUAUAAAGUAAAUCAAGCGCAAAAUGAACCGUUUCAAUUUCAGUUAACCGUUACUGUUUCAGUUAUUAAUUUCAUUCAUAUGCUUGUAUGAAUGUGUUAUUUAUUUGCCCUGCUGUGAUUGCAGUGCUUUCUGUCACUGCUUUGUUUCAUGAAUGCUGCUCUAUCUAUCUAUCUAUCUAUCUAUCUAUCUAUCUACGAUCUCGG